rnacentral:tRNA from 1 species
ACUUUUUUAGUAUAAUUAGUACCACUGACUUCCAAUCAGUGAGUUCCGUGUAACAUAACGGAAAAAAGUA